rnacentral:rRNA from 1 species
UACCCUUGACAUGGAUGGAAUCCUUGAGAGAUUGAGGAGUGCCCGAAAGGGAACCAUUACAC